UCAUCAUUUUUUGAGACUCUUUCAAGGUUGAAUCAAGAAUAUCCUGCAACUCAUUACAUCUUUCACAGUCAUAAGAUCUUACCUCAUUAGUUUCACCGUGCCAUGAAACAGUUUCCAUUCUCGUCAUCUAAAUCAUCUUCAUCUGUCCAGUAUCCUGAAGUUUUGUUUAUUUCAUUCUCCAGAAUUGUUAUUAGCAAAUAUUUGCUCUCUCUCCAUGGUUAGAGUUAUCCUUAUCGCUCUAGCUUCCGAAGGAUUUGUUCUUGUUGAAGCCUCUGGAGAUCUUCCUUUUCAGUUCUGAGCAUUCAUCUUGAGUGUGCCAAAAUUUUCCACAUUCAUAGCAUUUUCCAUCGUUCUUGUCCUAUUCGGUGUAUUGUUUGGAUCCUCUUGGUGGAUAUAUUCAUUUCUUUGUGUUCCUUUAUAUUCUCAUCAGUCCAUCCAUAUUUCUAGACAUCAUAGAAAUCUCUUCUUGUAGAGCUUCAGGAUCAUCAAUUUCAUUUUCAGCCAUUUCAGUAGAGGUUAUGAACGCAACAAUUUUCUUUUUCUCCUCUUGAUUUGUCUUUUUCAAAUGUGUUCUUUCAAGAGCAAGUUAUCCUCAUAGUUCAUCAUAAGAUAAUUUGUUUAGAUCUUGAGAUUCCAAUGUUACUACUUUGGUCUGCCAACUGGUUGGCAGACUUCUGAGAAAUUUUCUUACUUGAUCACCACUGGUAUAGGUUUCCAAAUGCCUUUAAGUCGCUAAUUUUGCUAAACCUGGCAAACAUUUUUUCAAUGAAUUCACCUUCUUUCAUUUAGAAGAGUUCAUAAUCAUGAACUAGCACGUUGAUG
rnacentral:lncRNA from 1 species